rnacentral:lncRNA from 1 species
UAUAUGGAACUUCCUUUCAGUUCUACCUGUUUAUUUUCCUAACUGCUCUAUACUACUGGUUGUAAUAUUGUAUGUUUUACAGAUACAGCUACGCUUCGUAUACAGAAAAAAUUUUCUUGCAUACGGCGGAUUUGUCGGCGUACCCGGAAAACGUGUAAUCCGAGGCGUGACAAUCCUAACCGCAUCCCUUCAUUCAAGUGCUGAAAAUCUAAUAGCAUCAUUCACAUGAUGUUAUUAAUAGUAUUAUAUAUAUAUAUAUAUAUAUAUAUAUAUAUAUAUAUAUAUAAUUGAGCUUCUAUGCUUUUAAAAGUACCUAAGUCAUUGUAAGUCUUUAGCCCUUGGGUUAAGAGAUGUGCGAUUAAAAUGAUGUGGG